GACGAACGCUGGCGGCGUGCUUAACACAUGCAAGUCGAACGGAAAGGCCUCUUUCGGGGGGUACUCGAGUGGCGAACGGGUGAGUAACACGUGAGUAACCUGCCCUUGACUUUGGGAUAACUUCAGGAAACUGGGGCUAAUACCGGAUAGGAGCUCCUGCUGCAUGGUGGGGGUUGGAAAGUUUCGGCGGUUGGGGAUGGACUCGCGGCUUAUCAGCUUGUUGGUGGGGUAGUGGCUUACCAAGGCUUUGACGGGUAGCCGGCCUGAGAGGGUGACCGGCCACAUUGGGACUGAGAUACGGCCCAUACUCCUACGGGAGGCAGCAGUGGGGAAUAUUGCACAAUGGGUGGAAGCCUGAUGCAGCAACGCCGUGUGCGGGAUGACGGCCUUCGGGUUGGAAACCGCUUUCGCUCAUGACGAAGCUUUGUGUGACGGUAGUGGGUAAAGAAGCACCGGCUAACUACGUG
rnacentral:rRNA from 1 species